CCUCCAUGGGAACAGGGACAGGUGGGGACAACGAUGGGACCCCCUGUGGGGAGGGGGACACAAAUGGGGACAGUGACCCCCAUUUGCCCCUGUGCUGUCCCCCCCCCCUUCCUGUCCCUUUAGAAUAGUGACAGUCACACCCCUGUCCCCCCCCAAUCUCCCCUAUGUCCCCAUCAGGAUGGGGGUCCCCAGGUCCCCAUCAGGGUGGGGGUCACCAUUAAAACAGGGGUCCCAGUGACCCCAAGCCCCCCCAGAGGUCCCCAUCAGGGUGGGGGUCCCCACGCCCCCAUCACAGUGGGGGUCCCGGUUAAAAUAGGGGCCCCAACGUCCCCAUCAAUCGCAGCGAGGAUCCCGUUACCCCUCUGGGGGGGGUGGGGGGGGUCC
rnacentral:lncRNA from 1 species